GACGAACGCUGGCGGCGUGCCUAAUACAUGCAAGUCGAACGCAGUGGGGACGGGUGAGUAACACGUGGGUAACCUCCCAUCAGAGGGGAUAACACUUGGAAACAGGUGCUAAAACCGAUACGUAUGGAUGGUCCCCCGGUGCAUGAGCUAGUUGGUGAGGUAAAGGCCACCAAAGGACAAGAUGCAUAGCCGACCUGGGAGGUGGUCCGUCCACACUGGGACUGGGACACGGCCCAGACUCCUACGGGAGGCAGCAGUAGGGAAUCUUCGGCAAGGGACGAAAGUCUGACAGAGCAACGCCGCGUGAGUGAAGAAGGUGUUCGGAUCGUAAAGCUCUGUUGUUAGAGAAGCGGUAUCUAACCAGAAAGCCACGGCUAACUACGUGCCAGCAGCCGCGGUAAUUC
rnacentral:rRNA from 1 species